GGGGUAAUCUUUGUGCGAGUCAUGAUAGCAGCUGCAUAGGAAGAAGAAAGGAAAAAUGGUCAGGGGGUUACAGAGGCUGACUCGAUCAUAGAAGGAAGGUGAAGAACGAACGAAUGAAGGUUCGUUGCGACGAUUGACGAAGCCCUAAGUUGCGCAGAAUGAGAAAUGGAAAAAACAACCCACAGCGUAUGCACCAGGCAGUUACAGGAUGAUGCAAAUCGGUGAAAAUGCAAGGAAACCCAGCAGAUGAAGGAAAGUAGUUACCUUUCGAUGAUCAGGAAGACGGUGGAGGAAGAUGGUGAUCUAGAGCGUUGAAGAGCGUUGAGAGUUUUCGCAGAAGGAAGUUAGAGCGUUUGCAAGCACGAAGAAAGUGAUGGAACAGUGGAGCGUAAUGGGUUUAAGGGUUUUCGAAAUGGUUUUAGGAACCGCAAACGGCAAAUGAAGAGAGCCGUUGAUGAAGCCACGCGUCAGACGAUGAGUGAGGGGUUUG
rnacentral:lncRNA from 1 species